CGCUAAAUCGACACUAAUCGACAAUUGUAGUGUUGAGAGUAUCAUUUUUUGUAUUUUUAAGAAUAUUGAAUUAAAUUUAAUAGUUAUAACUGCAAGGUAUACAAACUUCGGCUUGCCGAAGUUAACUUCCCAUCUUGUUUUAUUUUAAUUUUCUUGUGCACCAGCAGAUUCCUCUUUUUAAAAUGCUCCAAUUUUACGUUUGUCAACAAAACAAACUCAUUUGCUUGACGUGAAACUCUUAGUCGAUCUGAGUACGAGGCUUUAGCCUAGGACUCAAAUCGACGAAAACCGCGAGCUAGCCAUAGGAGUGAGCGAGAGGCAACGUGGCUAACGCUCUUCGUCAGGUCUGUUUAUCAGUAAAUGCAAAACACAACCCCCAGAACGAUCUCCGACAAGCUCUCCAUUGGUGAACCACAGGACUCCACCCCGACCAGCUACUUGGCAGCUAAAGCGGAGAUGGCGUACUCGCUGGCUUCUAUAUGGAGGACGAAAAAUGGGGCAAAAAGGGGCGCUCUUUAAGAAGCACCUGGAGGAGCCAUUACCAGCCAUUGUCAGAAUGCUGGUCGACUUCCUGCAGCAUCAGGCGGAACAAACCCGUUCCCGAUCCGACUCCCACUUCAUCAAGGUCCAAUAUGCCUAUUGGGAUUCGGGAAAGAUGGCGAAGCAUCCGUGGGACGAGAAGGAAGCUUUAUACUACUAAUUUACAUGAGUAAAAACAUUCGUUGAACAGUCCACUUAAUUUUAUUUGAAAUUUUUUUGUGCACCAGACUCUUUAUUUUUAAAUUCCUCCGAUUGAUUUGUUUUCCUUUUGUCCGCGCCAAGGAGGCGCUACUGUGAACGAUUAGUGGUUAACAGACGAGAGCAGUUACGUCCAGAUGGGCUCUCAUCUCGCUCUCGGACUGUUAACAGUCUCCACCCCCGCUCUUCUAACAUUAGAUUUAAGCUCAAGCUGCCAGUUCUAAGUUACCACUC